UACGUAGGGUGCAAGCGUUAAUCGGAAUUACUGGGCGUAAAGCGCACGCAGGCGGUCAAUUAAGUCAGAUGUGAAAUCCCCGGGCUCAACCUGGGAACUGCAUCUGAUACUGGCAAGCUUGAGUCUCGUAGAGGGGGGUAGAAUUCCAGGUGUAGCGGUGAAAUGCGCAGAUAUUAGGAGGAAUACCGGUGGCGAAGGCGGCCCCCUGGACAAAGACUGACGCUCAGGUGCGAAAGCGUGGGGAGCAAACAGG
rnacentral:rRNA from 1 species